rnacentral:lncRNA from 1 species
AUCGACCUAGAUCCCCUAUAGCACCUUAUCGAUCUAAGACUCCUCUGUGGAGGUUUCAUUACUUCACUCUGCUUAAUACUUCCUAAGCUCAGAUACUAAUGGAGAUAGAGCGACAGAAAGAGCUCCUCCAGUCAAAGAGGAUGCUCACUCUAGCACGAGCAAGAAAUCUAAAGAAGUACUGUAGGUACUAUUAUGAUCGCAGACAUGAUAUGGAGGAAUGUUGAUAGCUCAAGAAGGAGUAGAGGUGCUCAUCCGACGUAGAUGCCUUCGAUGCUAUAUUGAUGAACGGCGUAUCCCAGGGAACCUACGCGAUGAGUCUCCUCAGCAAGAAGAUCCUUAAAGAAACCAACCAAUAGAAGGGAAGAUCCGUAUGACCUCCGGGUGCCAGCUCGGCUAUGGUACCUUCAAGCCGAGCUGAGCUGAAGAUAAGGAGUCAAAGAAUAGAAAGAUCGAUGAUGAAGUCACCUUCUCUGGAGCU